AUUGAACGCUGGCGGCAUGCCUUACACAUGCAAGUCGAACGGCAGCGCGGGGCAACCUGGCGGCGAGUGGCGAACGGGUGAGUAAUAUAUCGGAACGUACCCUAGAGUGGGGGAUAACGUAGCGAAAGUUACGCUAAUACCGCAUACGCACUAAGGUGGAAAGUGGGGGAUUCGCAAGAACCUCAUGCUCAUGGAGUGGCCGAUAUCUGAUUAGCUAGUUGGUGAGGUAAAGGCUCACCAAGGCAACGAUCAGUAGCUGGUUUGAGAGAACGACCAGCCACACUGGAGCUGAGACACGGUCCAGACUCCUACGGGAGGCAGCAGUGGGGGAAUUUUGGACAAUGGGGGCAACCCUGAUCCAGCAAUGCCGCGUGAGUGAAGAAGGCCUU
rnacentral:rRNA from 1 species